CACCGGUGGGUUCUUCUCCCCCAAGGGACGCAUUUUUGGAGGAACAACGCCCGCUUAAAUGAAGAAGGCUUUCGGGUUAAAAAAAUUCUUUUUGUGGAAAAGAAUUUUCGGCAGAGUAACUGUUGUGGGCGUGACGGUAUCCAACCAGAAAGCCAGGGCAAAUUACGUGCCAGCAGCCGCGGUAAUACGUAGGUGGCAAGCGUUAUCCGGAUUUAUUGGGCGUAAAGCGAGCGCCGGCGGUUUUUUAAGUCUGAUGUGAAAGCCCUCGGCUUAACCGAGGAAGCGCAUCGGAAACUGGGAAACUUGAGUGCAGAAGAGGACAGUGGAACUCCAUGUGUAGCGGUGAAAUGCGUAGAUAUAUGGAAGAACACCAGUGGCGAAGGCGGCUGUCUGGUCUGUAACUGACGCUGAGGCUCGAAAGCAUGGGUAGCGAACAGGAUUAGAUACCCUGGUAGUCCAUGCCGUAAACGAUGAAUGCUAGGUGUUGGAGGGUUUCCGCCCUUCAGUGCCGCAGCUAACGCAUUAAGCAUUCCGCCUGGGGAGUACGACCGCAAGGUUGAAACUCAAAGGAAUUGACGGGGGCCCGCACAAGCGGUGGAGCAUGUGGUUUAAUUCGAAGCAACGCGAAGAACCUUACCAGGUCUUGACAUCUUUUGAUCACCUGAGAGAUCAGGUUUCCCCUUCGGGGGCAAAAUGACAGGUGGUGCAUGGUUGUCGUCAGCUCGUGUCGUGAGAUGUUGGGUUAAGUCCCGCAACGAGCGCAACCCUUAUGACUAGUUGCCAGCAUUUAGUUGGGCACUCUAGUAAGACUGCCGGUGACAAACCGGAGGAAGGUGGGGAUGACGUCAAAUCAUCAUGCCCCUUAUGACCUGGGCUACACACGUGCUACAAUGGAUGGUACAACGAGUUGCGAGACCGCGAGGUCAAGCUAAUCUCUUAAAGCCAUUCUCAGUUCGGACUGUAGGCUGCAACUCGCCUACACGAAGUCGGAAUCGCUAGUAAUCGCGGAUCAGCACGCCGCGGUGAAUACGUUCCCGGGCCUUGUACACACCGCCCGUCACACCAUGAGAGUUUGUAACACCCGGAAGCCGGUGGCGUAA
rnacentral:rRNA from 1 species